CGGUCCUCGGCUAGUGUCUCUUUCAGCGGUCGACCAUUAUUUAUUAAAAUAUUGAGUGUAUCUUUGAAUUUUUUUAUUUUUUAUUUUUGAAAUUUAUCCAAAGAUCAAGACGUGCAAUUUUUCUCAGUGUGGGCUCGUUUACGGUUUGUCGCCGAAACGCUGUAAUCGUGUAUACUAUAAUGUCUACCAAUAUUGGUACUCGUCGUGUGAACACACACACACGGUCGACUGUUAUCGAUGCUCAUCUCUGGCGAAAAGUGAAAACCGCCGGCACAAGCGACAGAACACAUGUGGUGCCGAAUUACAUCAACUACAUAAAAAAAAUAAAUCUUCAUUAAACCGGCGAUGGCGAUGAUUUAAUAGCUGUUCAUAAAUGUUUUGGCGACCGCAUUUCUUAAAAAUAUUCAAUAGAAGAAAAAAAGGAGAACCACUAUUACCUGGAUUUGAUGAUGCCAAAUGGAACAACUUGGAACACAGUUAUUGUUUGUGAAGUCAGAUGAAUUUGUGUAGUAUUUUCAUUUGAGUAAGGUGGUAAUGCAACACCAAGAGGGGAUUGCAGUGGUGGUUCUCUUGUGGGAGACAACAUCCGCUGUGACCAGAUUAAACAAGUUAUCCUCUAAAAAACAGGUAUACAUUUUAGUGGGCUUAAUAUGUUCUAAUGUUUUGGUUUCAUUAUGUAUUCUAUUGAUCUAUAGUAUACUUAUUGUUUAAUAGUAAAUAUUUUAAAGUCCAUGGGCCUAACGUGUAUAGUAAGCACGCAUUCGGUUUUCGAAACGCCAUUAGUACAUUGCCUAUGAAAAAAUUUAACGUGUGUACGACACACGUUAGAUGUAAAACGAGCCGUAGACACAAAGUAAUAUGUACCUACAAAUACUUUUAUGUUUUACACAUCUAAUUUAAAUACCAUUCUAAAUGUAUUUAAAUGCCAUUUGUGAUUUGGUCAAAUUUGCUUAAAACGCA